rnacentral:rRNA from 1 species
AUUCCAGCUCCAAUAGCGUAUAUUAAAGUUGUUGCAGUUAAAAAGCUCGUAGUUGGAUUUCGGAAUGGGUCAGUUGGUCCGCCGCAAGGUGAGUUACUGACUGAUUUGUUCUUCUUCGCAAAGACUGCGUGUGCUCUUUACUGAGUGUACGUAGGAUUUACGACGUUUACUUUGAAAAAAUUAGAGUGUUCAAAGCAGGCUAUCGCUUGAAUACAUGAGCAUGGAAUAAUGGAAUAGGACUUUGGUUCUAUUUUGUUGGUUUCUAGGACCGAAGUAAUGAUUAAGAGGGACAAUUGGGGGCAUCUGUACUUCGUUGUCAGGGGUGAAAUUCUUGGAUUUUGAUCAGACGAACUGCUGCGAAAGCAUUUACCAAGGAUGUUUUCAUUA